rnacentral:rRNA from 1 species
AGAGAGAGACAUGCGCGCAUAUCAAUAAGCGGAGGAAAAGAAACUAACAAGGAUUCCCUUAGUAACGGCGAGUGAAGCGGGAAGAGCUCAAAUUUGAAAUCUUCAAGGUUUUUACCUUGACGAAUUGUAGUUUAAGGAAGUGUUUUUCUGCUGAAGUUUUUGGUAAAAGUUCUUUGGAAUAGGACAUCAUAGAGGGUGAGAAUCCCGUAUUUGACCAUUAUUUUUCAGCUUUGUGAUACACUUUCAAAGAGUCGGAUUGUUUGGGAAUGCAGUCCAAAAUGGGUGGUAAAUUUCAUCUAAAGCUAAAUAUUGGCGAGAGACCGAUAGCGAACAAGUACCGUGAGGGAAAGAUGAAAAGAACUUUGGAAAAGAGAGUUAAACAGUACGUGAAAUUGUCAAAAGGGAAGCGUUUUGACACCAGUGUUGUUUUUCUCGAAAAUCAAUUAAAAAAUGGCUCGAUUUUGUAUUGCUUGAGACCUUAAAAGCUCACUGUACAUUUUUUCGUGUCUUUUUUUAAUGCACUUUUCGUUUAACAAGUCAACAUCAGUUUCUUUUGUUGUAAAAGGGUCAUUGGAAGGUGGCUUUCUUUUCGGAGAAAGUGUUUUAUAGCCUUUGGCCUCUGCAAUCGGAGAGACUGAGGUCUGCAGCGUAGACUCUUCGGGGUUAGAUACAUUUGUGCUAAGUUAUAGCUUUUUAUAGACAACUUGUUGACUAUAAUUAGUCUUGUAGCUUACUCGCUUAUGCUAUUUUUACCUACGCUUAGGAUGUUGAAGAUGUAGCACAUCAU